rnacentral:lncRNA from 1 species
AAUUUUUAUAAUUUUAGUAAAUAAUAAUAAUCGUAGUGUAAUAAAGGUAAUAAGAAAAGGAUUUUUCUUUUUCUUUUUCUUUAUUGGUUUUUCUUUAUUUUUUAGACUAAAUUACAUGAAAAAUGAAUAAUAUAAUAAUUAUUUAAAAAAUUAAUAAAAAAUUCAAAAAUAAAAUAUAAAUAUUAAAAAAGUAGAAAUUUAAAUUUUAAAAUAAGUGAAGGUAAAAA